rnacentral:rRNA from 1 species
AGCAGCCGCGGUAAUUCCAGCUCCAAUAGCGUAUAUUAAAGUUGUUGCAGUUAAAAAGCUCGUAGUUGAAUUUCGGGGUCAGCAGGUUGGUCGUGCCACUGGUAUGCACUGGUCUCGCUGAUUCCUCCCUCUUGUAGAACCGUAAUGCCAUUAAGUUGGUGUUGUGGGGAAACAGGACUGUUACUUUGAAAAAAUUAGAGUGUUUAAAGCAGGCUAACGCUUGAAUACAUUAGCAUGGAAUAAUGAAAUAGGACGAUCGAUCCUAUUUUGUUGGUUUCUAGGGUUGACGUAAUGAUUAAUAGGGAUAGUUGGG